rnacentral:rRNA from 1 species
AUUGAACGCUGGCGGCAUGCUUUACACAUGCAAGUCGAACGGCAGCGCGGGGCAACCUGGCGGCGAGUGGCGAACGGGUGAGUAAUACAUCGGAACGUACCCAGAAGUGGGGGAUAACGUAGCGAAAGUUACGCUAAUACCGCAUACGUUCUACGGAAGAAAGUGGGGGACCUUCGGGCCUCAUGCUUUUGGAGCGGCCGAGGUCUGAUUAGCUAGUUGGUAGGGUAAAGGCCUACCAAGGCGACGAUCAGUAGCUGGUCUGAGAGGACGACCAGCCACACUGGGACUGAGACACGGCCCAGACUCCUACGGGAGGCAGCAGUGGGGAAUUUUGGACAAUGGGCGCAAGCCUGAUCCAGCAAUGCCGCGUGAGUGAAGAAGGCCUUCGGGUUGUAAAGCUCUUUUGUCAGGGAAGAAACGGCUGAGGAUAAUACCUUUGGCUAAUGACGGUACCUGAAGAAUAAGCACCGGCUAACUACGUGCCAGCAGCAGCCGCGG